ACAAUGGAGAGUUUGAUCCUGGCUCAGGAUUAACGCUAGCGGCAGGCCUAAUACAUGCAAGUCGAACGGUAACAUGGAUAGCAAUAUCUGAUGACGAGUGGCGCACGGGUGCGUAACGCGUAUGUAAUCUGCCUUUAACUGGGGAAUAGCCUUCCGAAAGGAAGAUUAAUGCCGCAUAAUAUAAUAAAGAGGCAUCUCUUUGUUAUCAAAACUCAGGUGGUUAAAGAUGAACAUGCGUGACAUUAGCUAGUUGGUGAGGUAAUAGCUCACCAAGGCUACGAUGUCUAGGGGGUCUGAGAGGAUGAUCCCCCACACUGGUACUGAGACACGGACCAGACUCCUACGGGAGGCAGCAGUAAGGAAUAUUGGACAAUGGGGGCAACCCUGAUCCAGCCAUGCCGCGUGAAGGAUUAAGGCCCUAUGGGUCGUAAACUUCUUUUAUAAGGGAAAAAACUCCCGCACGUGUGCGGGAUUGAUGGUACUUUAUGAAUAAGGGUCGGCUAACUUCGUGCCAGCAGCCGCGGUAAUACGAAGGACCCGAGCGUUAUCCGGAUUUACUGGGUUUAAAGGGUGCGUAGGUGGACUUUUAAGUCAGUGGUGAAAGCCUCCCGCUCAACGGGAGAACUGCCAUUGAUACUGAUAGUCUUGAGUAUAGUUGAGGUAGGCGGAAUAUGUCAUGUAGUGGUGAAAUACUUAGAUAUGACAUAGAACACCAAUUGCGAAGGCAGCUUGCUAAGCUAUAACUGACACUGAGGCACGAAAGCGUGGGGAGCAAACAGGAUUAGAUACCCUGGUAGUCCACGCCCUAAACGAUGAUAACUCGAUGUUGGCGAUAUACAGUCAGCGUCCAAGCGAAAGCAUUAAGUUAUCCACCUGGGGAGUACGACCGCAAGGUUGAAACUCAAAGGAAUUGACGGGGGCCCGCACAAGCGGAGGAGCAUGUGGUUUAAUUCGAUGAUACGCGAGGAACCUUACCCGGGCUUGAAAGUUAGUGAAUGAUUUAGAAAUAGGUCAGCUAGCAAUAGCACAAAACUAGGUGCUGCAUGGCUGUCGUCAGCUCGUGCCGUGAGGUGUUAGGUUAAGUCCUGUAACGAGCGCAACCCCUAUCAUUAGUUGCCAGCGAGUCAUGUCGGGGACUCUAAUGAGACUGCCUGCGCAAGCAGUGAGGAAGGUGGGGAUGACGUCAAGUCAUCACGGCCCUUACGUCCGGGGCUACACACGUGCUACAAUGGAUGGUACAGAGGGCUGCUACAUAGCAAUAUGAUGCCAAUCUCAAAAGCCAUUCUCAGUUCGGAUUGAGGUCUGCAACUCGACCUCAUGAAGCUGGAUUCGCUAGUAAUCGCAGAUCAGCAAUGCUGCGGUGAAUACGUUCCCGGGCCUUGUACACACCGCCCGUCAAGCGAUGGAAGUUGGGGGUACCUAAAGUCCAUAACCGCAAGGAGUGGCCUAGGGUAAAACCGAUAACUGGCGCUAAGUCGUAACAAGGUAGCCGUACCGGAAGGUGUGGCUGGAAUACCUCCUUU
rnacentral:rRNA from 1 species